UACGUAGGGUGCGAGCGUUAAUCGGAAUUACUGGGCGUAAAGCGUGCGCAGGCUGUUCUGUAAGUCAGAUGUGAAAUCCCCGAGCUCAACUUGGGAACUGCGUUUGAAACUACAGGACUAGAAUAUGUCAGAGGGGGGUAGAAUUCCACGUGUAGCAGUGAAAUGCGUAGAGGAUGUGGAGGAAUACCAAUGGCGAAGGCAGCCCCCUGGGAUCGAAUA
rnacentral:rRNA from 1 species